rnacentral:rRNA from 1 species
CCUACGGGUGGCAGCAGUGGGGAAUAUUGGACAAUGGGGGAAACCCUGAUCCAGCGACGCCGCGUGAGUGAAGAAGUAUUUCGGUAUGUAAAGCUCUAUUAGCAGGAAAGAAAAUGACGGUACCUGACUAAGAAGCCCCGGCUAACUACGUGCCAGCAGCCGCGGUAAUACGUAGGGGGCAAGCGUUAUCCGGAUUUACUGGGUGUAAGGGGAGCGUAGACGGCAGCGCAAGUCUGGAGUGAAAUGCCGGGGCCCAACCCCGGAACUGAUCGGGAAACUGUGAAGCUGGAGUGCAGGAGAGGUAAGCGGAAUUCCUGGUGUAGCGGUGAAGUGCGUAGAUAUCAGGAGGAACACCGGCGGCGAAGGCGGCUUACUGGACUGCAACUGACGUUGAGGCUCGAAGGCGUGGGGAGCAAACAGGAUUAGAUACCCGAGUAGUC